CGGUUACGAUAAGGACAGCUGUAACUGGUUCUACAACGGACCGCACUACCUACGGUUCUACUACCACACCCAACAGCAGCUAAUUUCAACCAAUCAACACACUCUUAACCACAUUACAAGAACCUGCUCUCCAAUCACAGCCCUGCCUCAGCACUGGCCUUUGCAGGAUUGGAUGGCUCUGGAUCAAGAGGAGAGCCAAGCCCUGAUUGGUCAGCUGGAGCGGGAGUGGGCAGGACAGAAGCAUUCUGAUAACUACUACACCCACAAGGUGAUGUCACAGAGGGGACGGGACAUUUGGCUGCCAAUCACCCCAGACAGCAGGUUUUGUUUUGAACUACACUGGUUCUCCGGUUGUCCUCUUGGCUCUGCCCCCUUGACCUGCCCUGACCUCUGCCGUGAAGCACGUUGUCUUGGUAACCCGAUGGCUGAGUGUCGUUUGCGGAACUGUGGCUCCUGCUUUACUGAGUGGCUUGACCCAACCACCGGAGCGUACGUCAUCUGCCAGGGCUGGUAACCAGUGCUGACCGGCGCCCAUGUCAUUCAGCUUAGUGGAAGAUGACUAGAAAAUGCUUUUUUGUCAUGAAAAACUAAUGCAGUUCGACAUUAGAGCUUUCAUUACCAAGGCGGGUUACCAAGUCUGGAGAUAGGACACUUUUCUCUUUCUGGAAUACACGUUGAUGAUGGGUUGGAAUGAAAGCCUGCACACCCUGUUGCACUUCCUUUGAAUAUUUAACUGAAGUAGGAGAUAUUUAGAUAUCAGGAGGUGUAAUCAAUGUACCACACUGUAUUAGAUAAAGGGAGUGAAUGUUUCUAGUGUUCUUUUUUGCUGCUUUUCUUCAUCUAUUACGCUGUUUACCCACCACAUGAUAUUCACCACAUACACACACACAUACGCACACACACACACCCUGGUAUUCGUAAAAUGUGUCUUUGUUCUGUCAUGUUUCCUAUAGAAAUGAAAAGGUUACUUACUUUUCAAGCAAGUUCCAUUUCCACACACACACAUAUUCACACAGUAGGCCGGUAUAUGUCGAAUGGGUCUCUGUUCUGUCAUGUUCCCUAUAGAAACGACCCUGUUGGAAUGUACUGCAAACAUGAUAUUAUGCCUUCAAUCUCUCUCUCUCUCUCUCUCUCUCUCUCUCUCUCUCUCUCUCUCUCUCCCAUCUCUCUCCCCCUCUAUCUCUCUCCGUCUUCUCUUCAUUUCUCUUUCCAUCCCUCACACUCUCUCAUUCCUACCUCUCUCUCUUAUCUUCUGUCUUAAUCAGUCUUUCUUUUUCUUUCCCCAGCCUCUCUGUCUACUGUCUUUGUCUCCUCUUGUUUUUUUCUGUCCAUCUUUCUUUUCUGUCCGUCUUUUCUCUCUUAAUUGUUUCUGAUGGCAUCCAGCCGACACACACACACACACACACACACACACACACACACACACACACACACACACACACACACACACACACACACACACAGUCAGUCACUCUUAUGCAGACACAAACACGCACUCAUACACUCUUUGAUCUUUCUGCGUUGGCCUGCAUGCUCGGAUGAGUGGCGGAAAUGCUUUCUGGCACAGUUGGUGGGCUGCCUCACACACACACACACACACACACACACACACACACACACACACACACACACACACACACACACACACACACACACACACACACACACACACACACACACACACACACAAACUGUUGCUCUGACAAGUCAAUUGUGUGUUAAUGUACUCACCGGGCAGUCUCUAACUCUGUACCACGGCAGGCACCUCUGUUUAUGGUUACAGCUGUAAAAC
rnacentral:lncRNA from 1 species